rnacentral:snRNA from 13 species
AGACUAACACGGCUGCUACGCUGAAACCUAGGAUCAUCAAGGUGGUUUUCCCAGGGUGAGGUUCAUCCAUUGCACAGCGGCUGUGCUGACCCCUGCGAUUUCCCCAAAUGCAGGAAACUCGACUGCAUAAUUAAC